rnacentral:rRNA from 1 species
CAGUAGCCGCGCGGUAAUACGGAGGAUCCAAGCGUUAUCCGGAAUCAUUGGGUUUAAAGGGUCCGUAGGCGGUCUUGUAAGUCAGUGGUGAAAGCCCAUCGCUCAACGGUGGAACGGCCAUUGAUACUGCAGGACUUGAAUUAUUGGGAAGUAACUAGAAUAUGUAGUGUAGCGGUGAAAUGCUUAGAGAUUACAUGGAAUACCAAUUGCGAAGGCAGGUUACUACCAAUUGAUUGACGCUGAUGGACGAAAGCGUGGGUAGCGAACAGGAUUAGAUACCCCAGUAGUCCCUGUCUCUUAU